AAACUGCACCGAGGGAGAAAUCAGAGACGAAAAUGAAGGUGGCGAGAUUGGCACGCAUGGCAGCAAUGGCGCGGAACAAGCUCUUAUGCUCUUCACAUUUGGCUUCCAUGCACAUCUCUACUCCUACAUCUCGCCAAAUAAGCAUGAAGACAGAGGGUCUUACUGCUCGGCUUAAUAGUGCUGGUCUGUUAAGGACCCAGGGUCUUAUUGGAGGGAAAUGGACAGAUGCAUAUGAUGGGAAGACAAUUCAGGUCCUUAAUCCCGCAACUGGUGAAGUUGUAGCAGAUGUCCCAUGCAUGGGUGGAAAAGAGACAAAUGAUGCAAUUUCUUCUGCUCAUGAUGCAUUUUAUUCUUGGAGCAAUCUCACUUGCACUGAGAGGAGCAAGCAUUUACGAACAUGGUAUAACUUAUUAAUUUCCCACAAAGAAGAACUUGGACAACUAAUAACCUUAGAGCAAGGAAAACCUCUAAAAGAAGCCAUCGGUGAGGUUAACUAUGGAGCCAGUUUUAUUGAGUUCUUUGCGGAGGAGGCAAAGCGUGUAUAUGGUGACAUAAUCCCAGCAACUCUUGGUGAUCGUCGGUUGUUGGUUCUAAAGCAGCCUGUUGGGGUGGUUGGUGCAAUUACUCCGUGGAACUUUCCAUUGGCCAUGAUCACUCGUAAGGUUGGUCCUGCCCUUGCUUGUGGUUGUACAGUAGUUAUAAAGCCCUCUGAACUUACACCUCUCACAGCCUUAGCAGCCGCGGAGCUAGCCCUGCAAGCUGGAAUACCACCGGGGGUUCUGAAUGUGGUUAUGGGAAAUGCUCCUGAUAUUGGAAACGCUUUACUAGCUAGUUCACAGGUGAGAAAGAUCACAUUCACAGGCUCUACGGCUGUGGGAAAGAAGUUGAUGGAAGGUGCUGCUGGAACUGUUAAAAGGGUGUCUUUGGAACUCGGUGGCAAUGCACCCUGCAUAAUUUUUGAUGAUGCAGACCUUGACGUUGCAGUAAAAGGAUCUCUUGCAGCAAAGUUCCGUAAUAGUGGGCAAACGUGUGUUUGUGCUAAUCGAUUGAUUGUACAAGAAGGUAUCUAUGACAAAUUUGCUGAGGCUUUUUCAAAAGCUGUUCAAAAUUUGCAAGUUGGGGAUGGCUUUAGUGAGGGGGUGGUACAGGGUCCAUUAAUUAAUGAAUCUGCAGUGCAAAAGGUUGAAUCAUUUGUUCAAGAUGCUAUCUCAAAGGGAGCAAAAGUUCUUCUUGGGGGCAAAAGACAUAGCCUUGGAAUGACUUUCUAUGAGCCAACAGUAAUCGGUGAUGUCAAGAGUGAGAUGAUUUUAUCCAGAGAGGAAGUAUUUGGACCAGUGGCGCCACUCAUGCGGUUCAAAACAGAGGAGGAAGCUAUCUCCAUUGCUAAUAACACAAAUGCAGGAUUAGCAGCAUAUAUUUUCACAAACAAUAUUCAACGUUCAUGGCGUGUCACUGAAGCACUUGAGUAUGGACUUGUUGGUGUCAAUGAAGGACUUAUUUCAACAGAGGUGGCUCCAUUUGGAGGAGUAAAACAGUCUGGCAUAGGACGGGAAGGCUCCAAGUAUGGGAUGGAUGAAUAUCUGGAGCUGAAAUAUGUAUGCUUAGGAGAUAUGAACAGAAAGUGAGAUGCAAGGUAGUUCGCAGGUUAUAGUUUUGGUGGGAUGGUUGAUGUCGGAGGCAUAGAAGAUGAGCAGCGUAGUGGUCCUUAUGCUUUGUGUAUGUAAUAAGUGCAAUGUCCAAGCAUAUCUGAAUGACAAAUGUUUCUUUGCUUGGCCUGUUGUAUAAUACUUUUUUU
rnacentral:misc_RNA from 1 species